rnacentral:lncRNA from 1 species
AUCUGACCUAAUCUAACUUACCAACCUGACUUGAUCCGCACCAUCUUUUAUCUGACUGAUUCAAUCAAAAAUCAAUACAGAGUAGAUAUUGAAGGAAAAAAUCUGAUUCAAGGUCGGAUCACCGGGAGAAUCUAAAAAUUUUUUGAUAAUAAGCUAACAUAAAUUUUAUCUUUUACCUGAUAUGCAGUGGAAUAGGGAUCA